GAACGGGAUUAGAUACCCCGGUAGUCCACGCUGUAAACGAUGGAUGCUAGCAGUGUGCNGUAUCGACCCGGUGUGUUGCGAAGCUAACGCAUUAAGCACCCCGCCUGAGUAGUACGAUCGCAAGAUUAAAACUCAAAGGAAUUGACGGGGACCCGCACAAGCGGUGGAGCGUGUUGUUUAAUCGGAUGGUAAGCCUAGAACCUUACCAGGGCUUGACAUCCAGGGAAGGUCUGCGAAAGUAGACUGUGCCUUUUGGAACCCUGUGACAGGUGAUGCAUGGCCGUCGUCAGCUCGUGUCGUGAGAUGUUAGGUUAAGUCCUUCAACGAGCGCAACCCUUGUGAAUAGUUGUAUUUUUCUAUUCAGACUGCCCCGGUAACGGGGAGGAAGGAGGGGAUGAUGUCAGGUCAGUAUUUCCCUUACGUCCUGGGCUAGAAACGUAAUACAAUGGCUAGUACAAUGCGCAGCGAAGCCGCGAGGUGAAGCAAAUCGCAUCAAAGCUAGUCCCAGUUCGGAUUGUAGGCUGAAACUCGCCUGCAUGAAGUCGGAAUCGCUAGUAAUCGCAAAUCAGCAAGUUGCGGUGAAUACGUUCCCGGGUCUUGUACACACCGCCCGUCAAACCAUGAAAGUGACCAACACCCGAAGUCCGAUUCGUCGGCCUAAGGUGGGGGGCAUGAUUGGGGUU
rnacentral:rRNA from 1 species